GCAUCGAUGAAGAACGCAGCGAAAUGCGAUAAGUAAUGUGAAUUGCAGAAUUCAGUGAAUCAUCGAAUCUUUGAACGCACCUUGCGCUCCCUGGUAUUCCGGGGAGCAUGCCUGUUUGAGUGUCAUGAAAACCCUCAACCUUAGAUUGGUUAACACCUUUCUUUGGCUUGGAUUUGGACGUUUGCCGAUGAUAAGUCGGCUCGUCUUAAAAGUAAUAGCUGGAUCUGUCUCGCGACAUGGUUUGACUUGGCGUAAUAAGUAUUUCGCUAAGGACAUCUUCGGAUGGCCGCGUUGCAAGACUAAAGACCGCUUUCUAAUCCAUUGAUCUUCGGAUUAAUAUUCUUGACAUCUGGCCUCAAAUCAGGUAGGACUACCCGCUGAACUUAAGCAUAUCAAUAAGCGGAGGA
rnacentral:rRNA from 2 species